UACGUAGGGUGCAAGCGUUGUCCGGAAUUAUUGGGCGUAAAGAGCUCGUAGGCGGUUUGUCGCGUCUGCUGUGAAAUCCCGAGGCUCAACCUCGGGUCUGCAGUGGGUACGGGCAGACUAGAGUGCGGUAGGGGAGAUUGGAACUCCUGGUGUAGCGGUGGAAUGCGCAGAUAUCAGGAAGAACACCGAUGGCGAAGGCAGAUCUCUGGGCCGUAACUGACGCUGGAGGAGCGAAAGCAUGGGGAGCGAACAGG
rnacentral:rRNA from 1 species